rnacentral:rRNA from 1 species
UACGAAGGGUGCGAGCGUUGUUCGGAAUUAUUGGGCGUAAAGCGUACGUAGGCGGCCUUGUAAGUCUCACUGUGAAAGCCCGGGGCUCAACCCCGGGAGGCCAGGGGAUACUGCAAGGCUGGAGACAAGCAGAGGUUGGUAGAAUUCCGGGUGUAGCGGUGGAAUGCGUAGAGAUCCGGAGGAAUACCAGAGGCGAAGGCGGCCAACUGGGCUUGUUCCGACGCUGAGGUGCGAAAGCGUGGGGAGCGAACAGG